rnacentral:rRNA from 1 species
GACCUUUAGUUUGAAACCCCGAAACCAGGUGAGCUACCCCGAGACAGCCUAUUGAGGGCCAACCCGUCUCUGUGGCAAAAGAGUGGGAAGAGCUCCGGGUAGAAGUGACAGACCUACCGAACCUGGUGAUAGCUGGUUGCCUAAGAAAUGGAUAGAAGUUCAGCCUCGUACUCCCCAAAUCAAGUAAACAUUAGCAAGACAGCAAGAGAAAUACACGAGAGUUAGUUAAAGGGGGUACAGCCCCUUUGACAAAGGAUACAACCUUUCUAGGAGGAUAAAGAUCAUAAUACAUAAAACAUACUGUUCUAGUGGGCCUAAAAGCAGCCACCUAAACAGAAAGCGUUAAAGCUCAGACAGACAGAAGUUUAUUAUCCUGAUAAUAUAUCUCACUCCCCUAAAUACUAUUAGGCCAACCCAUGCCCACAUGGAAGAGAUUAUGCUAAAAUGAGUAACAAGAAGGCCCGCCCUUCUCCAAGCACAAGUGUAAGCCAAAUCGGACUAGCCAUUGGCAACUAACGAACUCAACCCAAGAGAGCAAUGUGGUAUUACAAAAAAACCUAGAAAAACCCACAACCUAAAUAUCGUUACCCCCACACUGGAGUGCAACAAAGGAAAGACUAAAAGAAAAGGAAGGAACUCGGCAAACACAAGCCUCGCCUGUUUACCAAAAACAUCGCCUCCUGCAACACAACCAAGUAUAGGAGGUCCAGCCUGCCCAGUGACUACAAGUUCAACGGCCGCGGUAUUUUGACCGUGCAAAGGUAGCGCAAUCACUUGUCUUUUAAAUAGAGACCUGUAUGAAUGGCUAAACGAGGGCUUAACUGUCUCCCCUUUCCAGUCAGUGAAAUUGAUCUACCCGUGCAGAAGCGGGUAUAAUAAUACAAGACGAGAAGACCCUUUGGAGCUUAAGGUACAAAACUCAACCACGUUAAGCAACUCAAUAAAAAAUGAAAACUUUGUGGAAUAUGAGAUUUUACCUUCGGUUGGGGCGACCACGGAGGAAAAAAAAGCCUCCAGGUGGACCGGGAGAAUUUCCUAAAACUAAGAGAGACAUCUCUAAGCCACAGAACAUCUGACCAAAUAUGAUCCGGCUAAUACAAGCCGAUCAACGAACCAAGUUACCCUAGGGAUAACAGCGCAAUCCUCUCCCAGAGUCCAUAUCGACGAGGGGGUUUACGACCUCGAUGUUGGAUCAGGACAUCCUAAUGGUGCAGCCG